rnacentral:rRNA from 1 species
AUUGAACGCUGGCGGAAUGCUUUACACAUGCAAGUCGAACGGCAGCACGGGGGCAACCCUGGUGGCGAGUGGCGAACGGGUGAGUAACACAUCGGAACGUGCCCAGUCGUGGGGGAUAACGUAGCGAAAGCUACGCUAAUACCGCAUACGAACUCUGGUUGAAAGCGGGGGACUCGCAAGGGCCUCGCGCGAUUGGAGCGGCCGAUGGCAGAUUAGGUAGUUGGUGGGGUAAAGGCCUACCAAGCCGACGAUCUGUAGCUGGUCUGAGAGGACGACCAGCCACACUGGGACUGAGACACGGCCCAGACUCCUACGGGAGGCAGCAGUGGGGAAUUUUGGACAAUGGGCGCAAGCCUGAUCCAGCCAUUCCGCGUGCAGGAUGAAGGCCCUCGGGUUGUAAACUGCUUUUGUACGGAACGAAAGGCCUCUUCUAAUACAGGGGGCUCAUGACGGUACCGUAAGAAUAAGCACCGGCUAACUACGUGCCAGCCGCCGCGGUAAC